rnacentral:lncRNA from 1 species
UGGUGAUCCAGUGUGUCCUCCCUAAUGACAAGGCAAAUCCUGCAGGGUCUGAUGGCUGAGGUCAGGUGAAGGACGAGGUCAGAAGGGCCCAGGCAUAGAAGCAUCAUCUGUGUGAAGAUUUAAGUCACCAAGAACCAUGAGGAAAGAAGUGAUGGAGGAAGUGAGGUUGAGUCAGAAGAUAAUCUGACCAAAGAGCAGGGAAGGAGAGGAACUGAAAGCAUGUGGAUGGCUGCAGAGAGCAGGGAUAAUGAGGGUGCAUGACCCCAGAGCACGGAGGAUGAGGGGACUGAAGAAGGCUCUGGAAGGAUCUGUAAAAAGCACACAGAGACCUCAGAAGCAACAUCAGAAUAUCCUCCUAAAGUAAGCAGUUUCCCAUCGUGGAGUCUCCAAACAAUAAAAGACUAUUUGGACUGAAAUUAUAAUGUGUUCACGCAAUUUACAAACCUGACCUCCACUACUGUUUCUCAAAGGUUGUUUGGUGUUUUUUUUAGAUUAAUUCACAGUUGUGCUAUUUGUCUUUUUUACAAGUAUGUCAGUUUCUUAUGUUAUUUGGAAAGAAAAACACAAUCUCUAUACCUUCCACUCAAUUUUACUGUGAAGUUAAAAUGCCUAAGAAAUGAAAUCUCC